rnacentral:rRNA from 1 species
GCGUUGUCCGGAAUCAUUGGGCGUAAAGCGCGUGUAGGCGGUCCGGUAAGUCCGCUGUGAAAGUCGGGGGCUCAACCCUCGAAUGCCGGUGGAUACUGUCGGGCUUGAGUGCGGAAGAGGCGAGUGGAAUUCCUGGUGUAGCGGUGAAAUGCGCAGAUAUCAGGAGGAACACCAAUUGCGAAGGCAGCUCGCUGGGACGUUACUGACGCUGAGACGCGAAAGCGUG